rnacentral:lncRNA from 1 species
AUCAGUUAAUCUAUAGGCGCUAUUCUCCUUUUCUGUACAAAGGUCACGUAACAUGCACAACACACUUAUACAACCAUGUAUAUCCGCACAUGCUAUACGCCUACGAAUAGCUUAGAACAAGUAAAAGCACUUGCAUAUGUGUAAAUGUGGGCAGUGGUUAUAUUUGAAUCAUGUUGGGUGGAAUCUCAUACCCUCUCGUAGCUAGCCUUAUUUCCAACCUACUCUGUUGAUCACAUUAAUUUGUUCCAAGCUAGAGGUUUAAUUUACCCGGUUGCGAUAGGCUACUAGCUUCAAACUUUGUGUUAGGUCAAAUAUGUAAAAUGGCACUUUUUUAUUAAAAAAAUGCAGCAUGCGGUCAAAACAAGUUAUAUUUUGUCUUUUGUGAAAAGCUAGGGAUUGAAAAAGAAAAAAAAACAAAAUAGAUCUGGUUCAUGUAUGGUUGAAGGUGACAUUUUCCAUUGGUCAUCACCACUCAUGAGUCAUGAGCAAUCAUAUGUAUAUUGACAAAAAUGAAAAUUUUCUGGACAAAACAGAUCCUUGUC